rnacentral:rRNA from 1 species
UAGGGAAUCUUCCGCAAUGGACGCAAGUCUGACGGAGCAACGCCGCGUGAGUGAAGAAGGAUUUCGGUUCGUAAAACUCUGUUGUUAGAGAAGAACAGCGCAUAGAGUAACUGUUAUGCGUGUGACGGUAUCUAACCAGAAAGCCACGGCUAACUACGUGCCAGCAGCCGCGGUAAUACGUAGGUGGCAAGCGUUGUCCGGAUUUAUUGGGCGUAAAGCGAGCGCAGGCGGUCAAUUAAGUCUGAUGUGAAAGCCCCCGGCUCAACCGGGGAGGGUCAUUGGAAACUGGUUGACUUGAGUGCAGAAGAGGAGAGUGGAAUUCCAUGUGUAGCGGUGAAAUGCGUAGAUAUAUGGAGGAACACCAGUGGCGAAAGCGACUCUCUGGUCUGUAACUGACGCUGAGGUUCGAAAGCGUGGGUAGCAAACAGG